UACAGAGGGGGGCAAGCGUUGUUCGGAAUUACUGGGCGUAAAGGGCGCGUAGGCGGCCUGUUAAGUCGAACGUGAAAUCCCCGGGCUCAACCCGGGAACUGCGUCCGAUACUGGCAGGCUUGAAUCCGGGAGAGGGAUGCGGAAUUCCAGGUGUAGCGGUGAAAUGCGUAGAUAUCUGGAGGAACACCGGUGGCGAAGGCGGCAUCCUGGACCGGCAUUGACGCUGAGGCGCGAAAGCCAGGGGAGCAAAACGGG
rnacentral:rRNA from 1 species